GAGGAAGACCCCCUGUUCUAAUCACAAACUCUUGGACUCUAAGGACAGACAAGGACCACAAAAUACAAAGACUUUUUUUUCUGACAAACAGAGGGGUGAAGCUCCCCUGGGAUGCGAUCCGAACCUGUGUUGGUUUGAUCCCCCAAGAGGCACUGGUUCUGCACCUGCCGCCGACAUGCUCAACCCCUCAGUGAUUUGCAUGUUUCCCCCAGAGCCCAUUUCUGCUCUUCAGCAUCUUCAUUAGAGACUGCUCAGACACUUGGGGCAAAAAAGAGCCUCAAGCUAGGCCUCGGAUUGAACAUGGGAGUCCUGACCCAACUCCUCUGCCUUCUGCUGGCCUGCCUCCCAGCUGUCUGCGCGCACACGGAGCUGACCCAGUCUCCAGCCUUCCUCUCCGUGUCCCUGGGAGACAGCGUGUCCAUCACCUGCAGGGCCAACGAGAGCGUCAGCGAUUACUUGAGCUGGUAUCAGCAGAAACCAGGCCAGGCUCCUCAGCUUCUCAUCUAUGAUGCUGAUAACCUCAAGUCUGGUGUCCCAGCCCGGUUCUCUGCGAUUCAGUCGGACAAAGAAUUCACCUUCAAAAUCAGCGCAGUAGAAGCUGAGGAUGCUGCCAGUUAUUACUGCCAGCAGGAUUAUAUACUUCCUCCCACGGUGCUACAGCCCCGAGCAAUAACCUUCCCAGGGCUAGGUGGGGAGGGCAGGAGAAGCAGUGGGCUGUGCUCGAGGUGGUUACAGCAGCUGCAUUCUGCUCUGUGGCUAUUCAUUCUGGCAGGAGCUGCUUUGGGGAAGAGCUAGCAGGGCUCAAAUAUCAAGAGAUUUUGUCCUUUGAAAGCUUCUUUUCUUGAUAACACAAAUCCCAAACCACAGGAAUUCUUUUUUUUUUUUUUUAAAGAUUUUAUUUAUUUAUUUGACAGAGAUCACAAGUAAGCAGAGAGGCAGGCAGAGAGAGACAGAGAAGCAGGCUCCCUGUUGAACAGAAAGCCUGAUGCAGGGCUGGAUCCCAGGACUCUGGGAUCAUGACCUGAGCUGAAAGCAGAGGCUUUAACCCACUGAGCCACCCAGGCACCCCCAAACCUCAGGAAUUCUUAAAUGAAAUUUCUCUUGCAGGCCUGCAAUGGAAUUCACCCAUCGGAUGGACCUUGAAUCCUAUCUCUGAUAAACACUCUGAAGUAGGCAAAAAAAGGGAACCCGCAUCCAAACAAACACUACCAAUACUAUUAAGACUGCUAUGACUAAUACUAUUUUGCAAAUACUAGUACUACUAAUGUUAGUACUAAAACUUCAGGCACUACUAUUGUAAUGCUACUACUACUAAUGAAACUAAUAAACAUCCA